GAUGAACGCUGGCGGCGUGCCUAAUACAUGCAAGUCGAGCGAACGGACGAGAAGCUUGCUUCUCUGAUGUUAGCGGCGGACGGGUGAGUAACACGUGGAUAACCUACCUAUAAGACUGGGAUAACUUCGGGAAACCGGAGCUAAUACCGGAUAAUAUUUUGAACCGCAUGGUUCAAAAGUGAAAGACGGUCUUGCUGUCACUUAUAGAUGGAUCCGCGCUGCAUUAGCUAGUUGGUAAGGUAACGGCUUACCAAGGCAACGAUGCAUAGCCGACCUGAGAGGGUGAUCGGCCACACUGGAACUGAGACACGGUCCAGACUCCUACGGGAGGCAGCAGUAGAGAAUCUUCCGCAAUGGGCGAAAGCCUGACGGAGCAACGCCGCGUGAGUGAUGAAGGUCUUCGGAUCGUAAAACUCUGUUAUUAGGGAAGAACAUAUGUGUAAGUAACUGUGCACACCUUGACGGUACCUAAUCAGAAAGCCACGGCUAACUACGUG
rnacentral:rRNA from 1 species